rnacentral:rRNA from 1 species
UACGUAGGGUGCGAGCGUUGUCCGGAAUUAUUGGGCGUAAAGGGCUCGUAGGCGGUGUGUCACGUCGGCCGUGAAAACCUGGGGCUUAACUCUGGGCGUGCGGUCGAUACGGGCAUCACUAGAGUUCGGCAGGGGAGACUGGAAUUCCUGGUGUAGCGGUGAAAUGCGCAGAUAUCAGGAGGAACACCGGUGGCGAAGGCGGGUCUCUGGGCCGAUACUGACGCUGAGGAGCGAAAGCAUGGGUAGCAAACAGG